CCUACGGGAGGCUGCAGUGGGGAAUAUUGGACAAUGGGGGCAACCCUGAUCCAGCCAUGCCGCGUGUGUGAAGAAGGCCCUCGGGUUGUAAAGCACUUUCAGUGAGGAAGAACGCCUGGUGGUUAAUACCCAUCAGGAAAGACAUCACUCACAGAAGAAGCACCGGCUAACUCCGUGCCAGCAGCCGCGGUAAUACGGAGGGUGCGAGCGUUAAUCGGAAUUACUGGGCGUAAGCGCGCGUAGGUGGCUUGAUAAGCCGGUUGGGAAAGCCCCGGGCUCAACCUGGGAACGGCAUCCGGAACUGUCAAGCUAGAGUGCAGGAGAGGAAGGUAGAAUUCCCGGUGUAGCGGUGAAAUGCGUAGAGAUCGGGAGGAAUACCAGUGGCGAAGGCGGCCUUCUGGACUGACACUGACACUGAGGUGCGAAAGCGUGGGUAGCAAACAGGAUUAGAUACCCGGGUAGUC
rnacentral:rRNA from 1 species